rnacentral:snoRNA from 1 species
AUCCUUUUGUGGUUCAUAAGCAUGAUGAAUGGGUGUUCACACGCUUGUGUGAAAUGUGCCUCCCUCCAAUCUUGUUGUGACGUCAGCACAUUACCCGUCUGAUG